rnacentral:rRNA from 1 species
CAUUAGCUAGUUGGUGAGGUAACGGCUCACCAAGGCGACGAUGCGUAGCCGACCUGAGAGGGUGAUCGGCCACAUUGGAACUGAGACACGGUCCAGACUCCUACGGGAGGCAGCAGUGGGGAAUAUUGCACAAUGGGCGAAAGCCUGAUGCAGCAACGCCGCGUGAGUGAUGACGGCCUUCGGGUUGUAAAGCUCUGUCUUUUGGGACGAUAAUGACGGUACCAAAGGAGGAAGCCACGGCUAACUACGUGCCAGCAGCCGCGGUAAUACGUAGGUGGCAAGCGUUGUCCGGAAUUAUUGGGUUUAAAGGGUCCGUAGGCGGUUUGAUAAGUCAGUGGUGAAAGCCCAUCGCUCAACGAUGGAACGGCCAUUGAUACUGUCAGACUUGAAUUACUAGGAAGUAACUAGAAUAUGUAGUGUAGCGGUGAAAUGCUUAGAUAUUACAUGGAAUACCAAUUGCGAAGGCAGGUUACUACUAGUGGAUUGACGCUNAUGGACGAAAGCGUGNGGAGCAAACAGAUUAGAUACCCUGGUAGUCCACGCCGUAAACGAUGCAUACUAGUGUNNGGGUUUCGAUGCCCUUGGUGCCGAAGUUAACACAGUAAGUAUGCCGCCUGGGGAGUACGCUCGCAAGAGUGAA